GAAGUAUCUUAAAACCAAUAACCCACAUACAAUAACUACUAUAAUUUUAACUACAAAAUGUUAUUUAUUAACCACAAUACGACAUGGCAAUCUUCUCGUAGUUUCAGCUCAAGAUUUACGUCCUUAUUUGCCUUCUCAAUAUAUUGUUCUCUAUUUAUACCCCUAGAACUUGUUCAUCCUCUGCUCAUCCUCUCUAACCCAUAUUCAGUAAGCAAUACCCAUUGUUCAAAAAUGAAGCAAGCUCCCAUUAGCUUUGCGACUUAUCUCCUGGUAUUCAUUGUUCUUCUUGCCACCGCUAUUGUAUUGGUUGAUGGGCAAAAGUGUAAGCCAAGUGGCAAGAUUAAGGGAAAGAACCCUCCAAACGGUCAAUGCAAUCAAGGUGAUUCUGAUUGCUGUAAGGCAGGCAAGUAUUACACCAUCUACAAGUGCUCACCUUCUGUUUCCAAGCGUACAAAGGCGACUUUAACUAUCAACAGCUUUGAGAAGGAUGGAGAGGGCGGUGCACCGUCGGCAUGUGAUGGUAAGUACCACAGCGACGACGAGCCGGUGGUGG
rnacentral:misc_RNA from 1 species